rnacentral:rRNA from 1 species
GAGCGGAGGGAUCAUUAGCGAGUUUAAACUCCCAACCCUCGAGAACCCACCUAACGUUGCUUCGGCGGACUGCCCCGGGCUCCCGCCGAUGCGCACCCAAACCCUGUGUUAAAGUCGCAUUCUGAGUGGACUACAAAUAAGUCAAAACUUUCAGCAACGGAUCUCUUGGUUCUGGCAUCGAUGAAGAACGCAGCGAAAUGCGAUAAGUAAUGUGAAUUGCAGAAUUCAGUGAAUCAUCGAAUCUUUGAACGCACAUUGCGCCCGCUAGUAUUCUGGCGGGCAUGCCUGUUCGAGCGUCCUUUGGACCCUCGGGCCCCGUGGCUUGUCCACGCGCGGCCCGGUGUUGGGGACCCGCGGCUGCCGCGGCCCCCUAAAAUCAGUGGCGGACCCCUCAACGGCCCUGGCGCAGUAGCACAUCUCGCCUUCGGACGCUGAGACGGCCUUGCCUCCAGCACCUAAUUACAAAGCUGGACCUCGAAUCAGGUAGGAAUACCCGCUGAACUUAA